GUGCCCGUAGCUCAAUUGGAUAGAGCGUUGGCCUCCGAAGCCAAAGGUUGCAGGUUCGAUUCCCGCCGGGCACG
rnacentral:tRNA from 1 species